rnacentral:rRNA from 1 species
ACGGGCUUCGGCCUGGUGGCGAGUGGCGAACGGGUGAGUAAUGUAUCGGAACGUGCCCAGUAGCGGGGGAUAACUACGCGAAAGCGUGGCUAAUACCGCAUACGCCCUACGGGGGAAAGCGGGGGACCUUCGGGCCUCGCACUAUUGGAGCGGCCGAUAUCGGAUUAGCUAGUUGGUGGGGUAACGGCCUACCAAGGCGACGAUCCGUAGCUGGUUUGAGAGGACGACCAGCCACACUGGGACUGAGACACGGCCCAGACUCCUACGGGAGGCAGCAGUGGGGAAUUUUGGACAAUGGGGGCAACCCUGAUCCAGCCAUCCCGCGUGUGCGAUGAAGGCCUUCGGGUUGUAAAGCACUUUUGGCAGGAAAGAAACGGCACGGGCUAAUAUCCUGUGCAACUGACGGUACCUGCAGAAUAAGCACCGGCUAACUACGUGCCAGCAGCCGCGGUAAUACGUAGGGUGCAAGCGUUAAUCGGAAUUACUGGGCGUAAAGCGUGCGCAGGCGGUUCGGAAAGAAAGAUGUGAAAUCCCAGGGCUUAACCUUGGAACUGCAUUUUUAACUACCGGGCUAGAGUGUGUCAGAGGGAGGUGGAAUUCCGCGUGUAGCAGUGAAAUGCGUAGAUAUGCGGAGGAACACCGAUGGCGAAGGCAGCCUCCUGGGAUAACACUGACGCUCAUGCACGAAAGUGUGGGGAGCAAACAGGAUUAGAUACCCUGGUAGUCCACGCCCUAAACGAUGUCAACUAGCUGUUGGGGCCUUCGGGCCUUGGUAGCGCAGCUAACGCGUGAAGUUGACCGCCUGGGGAGU